rfam:Nicotiana sylvestris Nsyl_contig30308, whole genome shotgun sequence.
CCGACCUUAGCUCAGUUGGUAGAGCGGAGGACUGUAGUCGGGUAAUAAAAGCCCACAGCUAAUCCUUAGGUCACUGGUUCGAAUCCGGUAGGUCGGA